rnacentral:rRNA from 1 species
ACCGGCGCACGGGUGCGGAACGCGUAUGGAACCUGCCCCUGUCAGAGGGAUACCCCAUGGAAACGUGGAAUAAUACCUCAUGGUAUUGCGACGUCGCAUGAUGUUGUAAUUAAAGAUUAAUCGGACAGGGAUGGCCAUGCGUAUCAUUAGCUAGUUGGCGAGGUAACGGCUCACCAAGGCGACGAUGAUUAGGGGCCCUGAGAGGGGGAUCCCCCACACUGGUACUGAGACACGGACCAGACUCCUACGGGAGGCAGCAGUGAGGAAUAUUGGACAAUGGUCGGAAGACUGAUCCAGCCAUGCCGCGUGCAGGAAGACGGCCCUAUGGGUUGUAAACUGCUUUUCUACAGGAAGAAUAAGUCUCUUGCGAGGGGCGAUGACGGUACUGUAGGAAUAAGGACCGGCUAACUCCGUGCCAGCAGCCGCGGUAAUACGGAGGGUCCGAGCGUUAUCCGGAAUCAUUGGGUUUAAAGGGUCCGUAGGCGGGACAUUAAGUCAGGGGUGAAAUGUUGCAGCUCAACUGCAGAAUGGCCUUUGAUACUGGUGUUCUUGAGUUAUGUUGCUGUGGUCGGAACAUGUGGUGUAGCGGUGAAAUGCAUAGAUAUCACAUAGAACGCCGAUUGCGAAGGCAGGUCACAAAGCAUAUACUGACGCUGAGGGACGAAAGCGUGGGGAGCGAACGGGAUUAGAUACCCCGGUAGUCCACGCUGUAAACGAUGGAUACUAGCUGUUGG